AGCCUUAUUUGGAAAAAGGGUCUUUGUAGAGUUAAUUAAGUUAAGGAUCUCAAGAUGAAAUCAUCCUGGAUUAAGGUGAGCCCUAAAUACAAUGACAAGAGUUGUGCCCUGAG